rnacentral:lncRNA from 1 species
GACCGUACCGGAGGGAGUGCGCCAUACCCUUAGAUCAGAAUGUGCAAGUGUGUGGAAUUUUUGGUGGAAUCCUAUCACUACUUUUAUUGCAACAUUCCUUGCAUCAAGACUCUCUUUUGAAAUGAGAUGAAAAACUUGAGAGGAUAUGGGCUAUAACAGAUUUUUUUUUGUUUUUUUGCAUAUAUAGCCCAUUCCUAUGAUUCUAAUUAAAACGAAAGAGAGCUUUAUGAUAACAAAUGCAAGGAAUGUAUAUGAAUGCACAAUUCUCAGGGUGAGAUAUUGGCAUUUUUAUUUGGUGGAUAUAUGUGCGCAACCCUCAGUGUAAGAGUUGGUGAAAUUUUGGGUGGAUGGAGAAAGCAUGUUGUGUGCGACUUCUUAGUGUGAGAGUCGGCUUUUAUAUGGUGGGUGCAAGUGAAUUCUGAUCUUAGAGGCAUGAAACAUCUCUCGACAGCGGUCCAAAAAUUUGACCAAACUCAACACAGAGCAAGCAGCAUAUGUAGAAGGUUUAAUCAUGAACAAAUAUUUGGCCAUGGUAGGAAUAAAGCUUGAUCAUUCAAGAAACUUGCUAUUGAAUUUUGCUUUUUAUAAAAGAAAACCCAUGUACUUUGCAAGAACCAGCAAGCAUCAUGUCAUCCUACUAUAUCACAUACGUCAAAUACUUAGAUAAAAUGGGGUCCCUAUAACAAGUGUUUAUAAAUCUCUAGGGAUAUUAGCUAAGAAUAAAAAGUAUGCAAAAACAAAUUUUAACAUAGGAGACUUGUUCGAUGGAGUACGAUCAUUUUAAACAUUUCAUUUGAAAAUCUUUUUAGGGGAAGAGGGUUUGC